GCGAGUCUGAAUAGGGCGUUUAGUAUUUGGUCGUAGACCCGAAACCAGGUGAUCUACCCUUGGUCAGGUUGAAGUUCAGGUAACACUGAAUGGAGGACCGAACCGACUUACGUUGAAAAGUGAGCGGAUGAACUGAGGGUAGCGGAGAAAUUCCAAUCGAACCUGGAGAUAGCUGGUUCUCUCCGAAAUAGCUUUAGGGCUAGCCUCAAGUGAUGAUUAUUGGAGGUAGAGCACUGUUUGGACGAGGGGCCCCUCUCGGGUUACCGAAUUCAGACAAACUCCGAAUGCCAAUUAAUUUAACUUGGGAGUCAGAACAUGGGUGAUAAGGUCCGUGUUCGAAAGGGAAACAGCCCAGACCACCAGCUAAGGUCCCAAAAUAUAUGUUAAGUGGAAAAGGAUGUGGCGUUGCCCAGACAACUAGGAUGUUGGCUUAGAAGCAGCCAUCAUUUAAAGAGUGCGUAAUAGCUCACUAGUCGAGUGACACUGCGCCGAAAAUGUACCGGGGCUAAACAUAUUACCGAAGCUGUGGAUUGUCCUUUGGACAAUGGUAGGAGAGCGUUCUAAGGGCGUUGAAGCAUGAUCGUAAGGACAUGUGGAGCGCUUAGAAGUGAGAAUGCCGGUGUGAGUAGCGAAAGACGGGUGAGAAUCCCGUCCACCGAUUGACUAAGGUUUCCAGAGGAAGGCUCGUCCGCUCUGGGUUAGUCGGGUCCUAAGCUGAGGCCGACAGGCGUAGGCGAUGGAUAACAGGUUGAUAUUCCUGUACCACCUAUAAUCGUUUUAAUCGAUGGGGGGACGCAGUAGGAUA
rnacentral:rRNA from 1 species